rnacentral:rRNA from 1 species
AGGACGAACGCUGGCGGCGUGCUUAACACAUGCAAGUCGAACGGAAAGGCCCUUUCGGGGGUACUCGAGUGGCGAACGGGUGAGUAACACGUGGGUGAUCUGCCCUGCACUUUGGGAUAAGCCUGGGAAACUGGGUCUAAUACCGAAUACACCCUGCUGGUCGCAUGGCCUGGUGGGGGAAAGCUUUUGCGGUGUGGGAUGGGCCCGCGGCCUAUCAGCUUGUUGGUGGGGUGAUGGCCUACCAAGGCGACGACGGGUA